UACAGAGGUCUCAAGCGUUUGUUCGGAUUCAUUGGGCGUAAAGGGGUGCGUAGGCGGCGCGGUAAGUCGGGUGUGAAAAUCUCGGGAGCUUAACUCCGAAAACUGCAUUCGAUACUGCCGUGCUUGAGGACUGGAGAGGAGACUGGAAUUUACGGUGUAGCGGUGAAAUGCGUAGAUAUCGUAAGGAAGACCAGUGGCGAAGGCGGGUCUCUGGACAGAUCCUGACGCUGAGGCACGAAGGUCAGGGGGAGCAAACGGG
rnacentral:rRNA from 1 species